rnacentral:rRNA from 1 species
AGUGAACGCUGGCGGUAGGCCUAACACAUGCAAGUCGAACGGCAGCACAGUAAGAGCUUGCUCUUACGGGUGGCGAGUGGCGGACGGGUGAGGAAUACAUCGGAAUCUACUUUUUCGUGGGGGAUAACGUAGGAAAACUUACGCUAAUACCGCAUACGACCUACGGGUGAAAGCAGGGGAUCUUCGGACCUUGCGCGAUUGAAUGAGCCGAUGUCGGAUUAGCUAGUUGGCGGGGUAAAGGCCCACCAAGGCGACGAUCCGUAGCUGGUCUGAGAGGAUGAUCAGCCACACUGGAACUGAGACACGGUCCAGACUCCUACGGGAGGCAGCAGUGGGGAAUAUUGGACGAUGGGCGCAAGCCUGAUCCAGCCAUACCGCGUGGGUGAAGAAGGCCUUCGGGUUGUAAAGCCCUUUUGUUGGGAAAGAAAAGCAGCAGGUUAAUACCCCGCUGUUCUGACGGUACCCAAAGAAUAAGCACCGGCUAACUUCGUG